AUGAAAGAAAGGAUCAUGAACCAGGAGAAACUCUCCAAACUGCAGGCACAAGUGCGCAUUGGUGGAAAAGGAACUGCUCGUAGAAAGAAGAAGGUGGUUCACAGAAAAGCCACAGCAGCCGAUAAAAAACUGCAGUUCUCCUUAAAGAAGUUAGGGGUAAACAAUAUCUCUGGUAUUGAAGGGGUGAACAUGUUUACAAACCAAGGAACAGUGA
rnacentral:lncRNA from 1 species